rnacentral:rRNA from 1 species
UACGGAAGGCAGCAGUGGGGAAUAUUGCACAAUGGGCGAAAGCCUGAUGCAGCUAUGCCGCGUGUAUGAAGAAGGCCUUAGGGUUGUAAAGUACUUUUCAUCGGGGAGGAAAAAAACAAAAACUAAAUAAUUUUUAAUUUUCUUUGACGUUACCCGAAAAAGAAGCACCGGCUAACUCCGUGCCAGCAGCCGCGGUAAUACGGAGGGUGCUAGCGUUAAUCAGAAUUACUGGGCGUAAAGAGCACGUAGGUGGUUUUUUUAAGUUCAGAUGUGAAAUCCCUGGGCUUAACCUAGGAACUGCAUUUUGAAACUGAAAUACUAGAGUAUCGUAGAGGGAGGUAGAAUUCUAGGUGUAGCGGUGAAAUGCAUAGAUAUCUGGAGGAAUACCUGUGGCGAAAGCGGCCUCCUAAACGAAUACUGACACUGAGGUGCGAAAGC